rnacentral:rRNA from 1 species
UUGAACGCUGGCGGCAGGCCUAACACAUGCAAGUCGAGCGGUAGCACAGAGAGCUUGCUCUCGGGUGACGAGCGGCGGACGGGUGAGUAAUGUCUGGGAAACUGCCUGAUGGAGGGGGAUAACUACUGGAAACGGUAGCUAAUACCGCAUAAUGUCGCAAGACCAAAGUGGGGGACCUUCGGGCCUCAUGCCAUCAGAUGUGCCCAGAUGGGAUUAGCUAGUAGGUGGGGUAACGGCUCACCUAGGCGACGAUCCCUAGCUGGUCUGAGAGGAUGACCAGCCACACUGGAACUGAGACACGGUCCAGACUCCUACGGGAGGCAGCAGUGGGGAAUAUUGCACAAUGGGCGCAAGCCUGAUGCAGCCAUGCCGCGUGUGUGAAGAAGGCCUUCGGGUUGUAAAGCACUUUCAGCGGGGAGGAAGGCGUUAAGGUUAAUAACCUUGGCGAUUGACGUUACCCGCAGAAGAAGCACCGGCUAACUCCGUGCCAGCAGCCGCGGUAAUACGGAGGGUGCAAGCGUUAAUCGGAAUUACUGGGCGUAAAGCGCACGCAGGCGGUCUGUCAAGUCGGAUGUGAAAUCCCCGGGCUCAACCUGGGAACUGCAUUCGAAACUGGCAGGCUAGAGUCUUGUAGAGGGGGGUAGAAUUCCAGGUGUAGCGGUGAAAUGCGUAGAGAUCUGGAGGAAUACCGGUGGCGAAGGCGGCACACUGGACAAAGACUGACGCUCAGGUGCGAAAGCGUGGGGAGCAAACAGGAUUAGAUACCCUGGUAGUCCACGCCGUAAACGAUGUCGAUUUGGAGGUUGUGCCCUUGAGGCGUGGCUUCCGGAGCUAACGCGUUAAAUCGACCGCCUGGGGAGUACGGCCGCAAGGUUAAAACUCAAAUGAAUUGACGGGGGCCCGCACAAGCGGUGGAGCAUGUGGUUUAAUUCGAUGCAACGCGAAGAACCUUACCUGGUCUUGACAUCCACAGAACUUAGCAGAGAUGCUUUGGUGCCUUCGGGAACUGUGAGACAGGUGCUGCAUGGCUGUCGUCAGCUCGUGUUGUGAAAUGUUGGGUUAAGUCCCGCAACGAGCGCAACCCUUAUCCUUUGUUGCCAGCGGUUAGGCCGGGAACUCAAAGGAGACUGCCAGUGAUAAACUGGAGGAAGGUGGGGAUGACGUCAAGUCAUCAUGGCCCUUACGACCAGGGCUACACACGUGCUACAAUGGCAUAUACAAAGAGAAGCGACCUCGCGAGAGCAAGCGGACCUCAUAAAGUAUGUCGUAGUCCGGAUUGGAGUCUGCAACUCGACUCCAUGAAGUCGGAAUCGCUAGUAAUCGUAGAUCAGAAUGCUACGGUGAAUACGUUCCCGGGCCUUGUACACACCGCCCGUCACACCAUGGGAGUGGGUUGCAAAAGAAGUAGGUAGCUUAACCUUCGGGAGGGCGCUUACCACUUUGUGAUUCAUGACUGGGGUG